GCCCUGGCAGGCUUAGCUCAGUGGUGGAGCAUCUGUUUUGCAUGCAGAACGUCCCAAGUUCAAUUCCCUGCAUCUCCUGGUAGGGCU